rnacentral:rRNA from 1 species
CACGAAGUUGAAGGAUCUAGUUAAUAUAUAUUUAUAGAUGUGAUGAUGUUGCAAAAUUCAGAAAGUAGUAACUAGGGGUGAUAGGCUUUUCACAUUCAGCGAUAGCUUGAUGGUUUAAAAAUGUAUUAGUACGAAGGCACUUUUGAAGUAAUAAGGUUUCAAGAGCAAAACAAAAGCGGAUUUAAAUCAAGUAUCUUAUUUAACCAUAAAUACGUUACCAUUUUAAUAUUUAUUUCAUUACAUUUGUUUGAACUAUAAACCUUUACAUAAUUCACAAGUAUAUUCAUAAUGUUUAUAUUAGUAACAAAUAGUUGUAGAUAAUGAACUCGGCAAUAAACCUUUCGCCUGUUUAUCAAAAACAUAGCUAUAUGAUAAAAUAUAUAGUGAUUUCUGCUCAAUGACGACUUAAAUAGCCGCAGUACCCUGACUGUGCUAAGGUAGCGCAAUCAAUUGACUUUUAAAUGAAGUCCUGUAUGAAAGAAACUAUGGAGGGUUACUUUCUCGUUUACAAUUUAUGAAUUUACUUACGAAGUGAAAAUUCUUCCAGACAACUAAAAGACGAGAAGACCCUAGAAAUUUUAAGGGAAACUUUUUGUUGGGGCAACAGAGUAGUAAUUAAUCUACUGCAAAGACAAGAAACUAUUAUGUGGGAAGAUAAAAUUACUCUAGGGAUAACAGCAUAAUUUGGAGAAGUUUGUGACCUCGAUGUUGGAUUAGGGAAUUAACAUUCAGAA